rnacentral:tRNA from 2 species
GCCCUGUUAGCUCAGUUGGCAGAGCAGCUGACUCUUAAUCAGCGGGUCGCAGGUUCGAGUCCUGCACAGGGCA